GUCACCAAUCGUUGCGACGGUGCCUUGAGUUUCAAGGUGAAACGGGAAGCCGGUGAAAAGCCGGCGCCGCCCCCGCGACUGUCAGGGACGACGCCCCUUCAUCAUGCCACUGGUGUGCUUCUUGCAUCGGGAAGGCGGAGGGGAUUGGUCCCGAGCCAGGAGACCGGCCGUCAGCCACGCGGCAAAG
rnacentral:ncRNA from 1 species